AGGGUUUGAUCCUGGCUCAGAACGAACGCUGGCGGCGUGGAUUAGGCAUGCAAGUCGUACGAGAACGGGUUCUUCGGAGCCCUAGUAAAGUGGCGAAAGGGUGAGUAGUACCUAGGUAACCUACCCUGAAGACGAGGACAACGACCGGAAACGGUCGCUAAUACUCGAUAUGGCGACGGAGCCGCAUGGAUCUGUCGCUAAACGGUAGCCUCUAUUUAUAAGCUCCCGCUUCAGGAGGGGCCUCGGGCCUAUCAGCUAGUUGGUAGGGUAACGGCCUACCAAGGCUGGGACGGGUAGCCGGUCUUAGAGGAUGGUCGGCCACACUGGGACUGAGACACUGCCCAGACUCCUACGGGAGGCUGCAGUCGAGGAUCUUCUGCAAUGGGCGCAAGCCUGACAGAGCGACGCCGCGUGUGGGAGGAAGGCCUUCGGGUUGUAAACCACUGUCACCUGUUAAGAAUCGCCGGGGUGCGAACAGCAUCACGGCGUGACUAAGGCAGGGGAGGAAGCCACGGCUAACUUCGUGCCAGCAGCCGCGGUAAUACGAAGGUGGCAAGCGUUGUUCGGAAUCACUGGGCAUAAAGCGCGUGUAGGCGGCUUCGCAAGUCGGGUGUGAAAUCCCUCGGCUCAACCGAGGAACUGCGCCCGAAACUGCAUUGCUUGAGGCCUGGAGGGGAGAGUGGAAUUCCCGGUGGAGCGGUGAAAUGCGUAGAUAUCGGGAGGAACGCCGGUGGCGAAAGCGACUCUCUGGACAGGUUCUGACGCUGAGACGCGAAAGCUAGGGGAGCAAACGGGAUUAGAUACCCCGGUAGUCCUAGCCGUAAACGAUGGGUGCUAGGUAGUGGCGGUACCUAUUCCGCCACUGCCGGAGCUAAUGUUAUAAGCACCCCGCCUGGGGAGUACGGUCGCAAGACUAAAACUCAAAGGAAUUGACGGGGGCUCACACAAGCGGUGGAGCAUGUUGCUUAAUUCGAAGCAACGCGAAGAACCUUACCUGGGUUUGACAUGUUGGUAGUAGCGCGGGGAAACCAUGCGCGACCCUCGCAAGAGGGAGCCAGCACAGGUGUUGCAUGGCUGUCGUCAGCUCGUGUCGUGAGAUGUUGGGUUAAGUCCCGUAACGAGCGAAACCCUUGCCAUUAGUUGCUACAGGUCAAGCUGAGCACUCUAGUGGGACUGCCGGUGUUAAACCGGAGGAAGGUGGGGACGACGUCAAGUCAUCAUGGCCCUUACGCCCAGGGCUGCAAACGUGCUACAAUGGUCGGUACAAAGGGUUGCGAGGCCGCGAGGCGGAGCCAAUCCCAAAAAGCCGAUCCCAGUCCGGAUUGAAGGCUGAAAUUCGCCUUCAUGAAGUCGGAAUCGCUAGUAAUCGCGGAUCAGCUAUGCCGCGGUGAAUAUGUUCCUGAGCCUUGUACACACCGCCCGUCAAGCCAUGGGAGCCGGGAGUGCCCGAAGUCGCGAUCCCAACCGCAAGGAGGGUAGCGCCGAAGGCAAGCUCGGUCACUGGGACUAAGUCGUAACAAGGUA
rnacentral:rRNA from 1 species